AGUGAACGCUGGCGGUAGGCCUAACACAUGCAAGUCGAACGGCAGCACAGGAGAGCUUGCUCUCUGGGUGGCGAGUGGCGGACGGGUGAGGAAUACAUCGGAAUCUACUCUGUCGUGGGGGAUAACGUAGGGAAACUUACGCUAAUACCGCAUACGACCUACGGGUGAAAGCAGGGGACCUUCGGGCCUUGCGCGAUUGAAUGAGCCGAUGUCGGAUUAGCUAGUUGGCGGGGUAAAGGCCCACCAAGGCGACGAUCCGUAGCUGGUCUGAGAGGCUGAUCAGCCACACUGGAACUGAGACACGGUCCAGACUCCUACGGGAGGCAGCAGUGGGGAAUAUUGGACAAUGGGCGCAAGCCUGGUCCAGCCAUACCGCGUGGGUGAAGAAGGCCUUCGGGUUGUAAAGCCCUUUUGUUGGGAAAGGAAUCCAGCUGGCUAAUACCCGGUUGGAUGACGGUACCCAAAGAAUAAGCACCGGCUAACUUCGUGCCAGCCGCCGCCGUAA
rnacentral:rRNA from 1 species